rnacentral:tRNA from 1 species
GAGGAUAUAGCUCAGUGGUAGAGCACAUGCUUAGCAUGCAUGAGGUCAUGGGUUAGAUCCUCAGUACCUCCA